CCUACGGGGGGCAGCAGUGGGGAAUAUUGGACAAUGGGCGAAAGCCUGAUCCAGCAAUGCCGCGUGAGUGAUGAAGGCCCUAGGGUUGUAAAGCUCUUUUACCAGGGAAGAUAAUGACAGUACCUGGAGAAGAAGCUCCGGCUAACUCCGUGCCAGCAGCCGCGGUAAUACGGAGGGGGCUAGCGUUGCUCGGAAUUACUGGGCGUAAAGCGCACGUAGGCGGUUUUUCAAGUCAGGGGUGAAAGCCCGGAGCUCAACUACGGAAUUGCCCUUGAAACUGGAUGACUAGAAUCUUGGAGAGGUCAGUGGAAUUCCGAGUGUAGAGGUGAAAUUCGUAGAUAUUCGGAAGAACACCAGUGGCGAAGGCGACUGACUGGACAAGUAUUGACGCUGAGGUGCGAAAGCGUGGGGAGCAAACAGGAUUAGAUACCCUAGUAGUC
rnacentral:rRNA from 1 species